UCGCUUUAACAUGGCUGUGCUUUGCCCUAUUUUCAGUUGUGAGCUAUCAACAUAAUUCACCCCAGAGGCAUUUAAAGGGAGUGCCUAAUGGUUUUCCUCCCUCUUCUCCUUUUAGAUUGUUUGCUUCUUCCUCCCUACCACUGUGCAGAAGUCAGGACAGAUUAUUUUAACCUCAUAGUCUGAACAGUGAUCUAAUGGGAGAUAGCUGUGGCAUCUGAGUCCCACCGCUAUUUACUGUCAAUUAGAAUGAAAUCUCAAACAUAUUAGCUUAUUCUGCUCUCCAUUUGCUAUUCUGUGUACAGCAGACAAUGUUUCAUAUCCUGCUCUCUUGCUCUCUCUUUCAAAGAAAACGACACACAAUCUCUCAGAUUCUCAAUAAGAACCCCCAAAAGCCUCUGAACAAAUUAGUGAAUGAGUGAAGAUAAUGGUAAUUCUUUCACACAUUUUUUAAAAAAAGAUUUAUUGAGGCAAUAUAACAAAAAGAAACAGAGGGAGCUGAAAAAUAAAAAAAAUAAAAACAUUAUCCUGGGGCCACAUGUCAUAUGUGCGAGAAACAAGGCAUCGUUUUAAAUAAAUAUCCCUCUGAACUAUCUGUUUUCCAAACAAACCGCCAGCUUUCCAGAAUGUAAAAUGUCAUCAAAAUGUCUUACAUUGAAAAGGUUACAGCCUGAAUUCUGUGUGGGCUGUGGUGCUGGGGGAGCCUGAAUGAAAAUAUAUUCCACAGACAUCUGAGCCUAAAGAGAAACUAAGAGGCUUAAGAGGCUGCCUAUGCCAGCAUCAAAGCAAAUCAGCAAAGCAACCUACAUUAUUUUCAUCCUCAACACACAAAUUAAUAGGUGUUGAAAAUCUCUUUGGCAAGAUACCUUCAAUGCUGAACCCUUUUCUUGAUGCAAAGAAUGAAGACACACAUAAGAGAUGGCAAAGAGAAGAGCUCUAGACUAAUUAUUCAAGAUCUGGAUUGUUAAAAGAACCCACCUUUUACAGACAUUGGAUGCUGGAGAUGCUGGUUGAAAUUACAAUACAAAUAGUAAUUUCUGACCCUGAGGAAACAACCAGUGUCUUGUUGAAGUUGCUAAAAUUCAUGACUGUACUUAAUAAUAUCAGUGCGGAGUCAUCA